rnacentral:rRNA from 1 species
UACGAAGGGGGCUAGCGUUGCUCGGAGUCACUGGGCGUAAAGCGCACGUAGGCGGCUUCUUAAGUCAGGGGUGAAAGCCUGGAGCUCAACUCCAGAACUGCCUUUGAUACUGAGGAGCUUGAGUCCGGGAGAGGUGAGUGGAACUGCGAGUGUAGAGGUGAAAUUCGUAGAUAUUCGCAAGAACACCAGUGGCGAAGGCGGCUCACUGGCCCGGUACUGACGCUGAGGUGCGAAAGCGUGGGGAGCAAACAGG